AAGGGAAGCUGGAAACUAACCCUCCCUUUUAUCAUAGGGUCGAUUAGAGAUCGCUUCCGAUAUUAUAUAGAAGUUACUAAUCAUGUGAAUUAUUUUGAGUCAGUAAUAAAACACACCGGAGUCUUCUUACAACUUUUU
rnacentral:snoRNA from 1 species